GACGAACGCUGGCGGCGUGCUUAACACAUGCAAGUCGAGCGGUAAGGCCCUUUCGGGGUACGACGAGCGGCGAACGGGUAGGAGUAACACGUGGGUGACCUCGCCCUCCAGCUCUGGGAUAAGACCGUGGGAAACCGGGUACUAAUACUGGAUAUGACUCCAUGACGCAUGUUGGUGGGGUGGAAAGCCUUGUGCGGCUGAGGAUGGGCCCGCGGCCUAUCAGCUUGUUGGUGGGGGUGANGGCCUACCAAGGCGACGACGGGUAGCCGGCCUGAGAGGGCGACCGGCCACACUGGGACGU
rnacentral:rRNA from 1 species